AUACGGAGGUGGCAAGCGUUGUUCGGAUUUACUGGGUGUAAAGGUCAUGUAGGCGUCUUAUUAAGUCGGAUGUGAAAUCCCUUGGCUCAACCAAGGAACUGCACUCGAUACUGGUAAGAUUGAGUACGGGAGAGGUAAGCGGAAUUCCGGAAGUAAGGGUGAAAUCUGUAGAUAUCCGGAAGAACACCAUUAGCGAAGGCGGCUUACUGGUCCGAUACUGACGCUGAAAUGAGAAAGCUAGGGGAGCGAACAGGAUUAGAAACCCGGGUAGUCC
rnacentral:rRNA from 1 species